GCCUUCGUGGUGUAGUGGUCUGCAUGAUCGACGCGUAACCGAGAGGUCCGUGGUUCGAUUCCCGGCGAAGGCG
rnacentral:tRNA from 1 species